AUGUAGGCUGUCACUGUCAAGCAUAGCAUUUGGACAUCUUUUUUGGUUGUUGGGGGAACAUAUUGUGGGAUUUUCGUGUCCUUACCUUGAGUUUAGAAAGUAACGUAAACACGUGAGGAUGUACAGACAGAUAUUUCUUUUGUGACUCCUGUCAGAUUAUUUGUUCUCACAGAGCCCAUCAGGAGCAACUUCUAAUACUAAAACAACAGGUGUACAACUUUCUACUACUAUGGCCCAAACCACCCCAGG